AUCCUUUUGUGGUUCAUAAGCAUGAUAACUGGGGUUCUGCAAUACUGUGUUAGAUGUACCUCCUUCAUGUCUUGCUAAAAUGUUAGCACAUUACCUGUCUGGUG